rnacentral:rRNA from 1 species
AAACGCUUGAAGUCAGUCGCGUUGUUCAAGAAUCAGCCUUGCAAUUCAUUGCUUGGUGUACUUUUUGUUCAACGGGUCAGCAUCAGUUUUGAUCCAUUGGAUAAGGGUCAGGGAAAUGUAGCAUCUUAGGAUGUGUUAUAGUCUCUGAUCGUAUACAGUGGUUGGGACUGAGGAACUCAGCAUGCCGCAAGGAUGGGUCUAUUAGACUACACUACAUGCUUAGGAUGCUGGCAUAAUGGCUUUAAUCGA